rnacentral:rRNA from 1 species
AAUCAACGCUGGCGGCGUGCCUAACACAUGCAAGUCGAACGCGAAAGGGGCUUCGGCCCUGAGUAGAGUGGCGAACGGGUGAGUAACACGUGGGUGAUCUACCUUCGAGUGGGGGAUAACGUUCCGAAAGGAGCGCUAAUACCGCAUGACGUUCUGGGUUUGAAGACCUGGAAACCAAAGCCGGGGGCCGCAAGGCCUGGCGCUAGAAGAGGAGCCCGCGCCUGAUUAGCUAGUUGGUGAGGAAUGGCUCACCAAGGCAACGAUCAGUAGCCGGCCUGAGAGGGGCGGACGGCCACACUGGGACUGAGACACGGCCCAGACUCCUACGGGAGGCAGCAGUGGGGAAUUGUUCGCAAUGGGCGCAAGCCUGACGACGCAACGCCGCGUGGAGGAUGAAGGUCUUCGGAUUGUAAACUCCUGUUGACCGGGAAGAAUAGGCCUCGAGUGAAUAGCUCGAGGC